GUUUCAAAAUCAGAUCUAACUAAUUCAAUGUUUUCUAUAGGGAUAAUUACCUAUAUACCUCUCAUACGUUUGAAAAUAUUCAAUUUAUUUCUAUUUUUUUUUUCUUUCUAAAAUACCACUCAUAUAUUCUACUGUUAUUGCAAAAUACCUUCUCAGUUAUUUCCUGUUAAGUUAACUUGGGUUAAACGUGAGUUAAAUAUCUACCACAGUUAAAAUAAAUUAAAAUGCCAAUUUUGUUCUUAAUUUAAGGGCAAAUAAAAAAUGUUGGUGACGCUAGAGAGGUAUAUUGAAAAAAAUCAAAAGUCAAAAUACUUUUUGUGCCCCUGACUUUAAGGGCAAAUAAGAAAGCCAGUGAUGGUGGAAGGGUAUAUUUGAAAAGACAAAGUAGUAAUUUUACAGAGAUAACAGAGUUAAUUAACAGAUUUUAACUCUAGGGUUAUAUUAGAAAUAGGUUGGAACAUAAAAAGAGUAUUUUCAAUAUUAGCGUUUUAAAAGAGGUAAAUCGAAAAGUUAAUUAACAGAUUUUAACUCUAGGGGUAUAUUUGAAAAUGCAAAAUAGUAAUUUUACAGAGAUAAUAAAGUUAAUUAAUAGAUUUUAACUCUCGAGAUAUAUUAGAAAUAUGUUGGAACGUAAAAAAGGUAUUUUCAAUAUUAACCUUCUAAAAGAGGUAAAUUGAAAAGUCAGAAACUUUUCAGGGCUAUAUAAGCAAUUGCCCCUUUUCUAUAACAAGGAAAAGUUUUAAAAUUAAAAGUACUUUUCAAAAU
rnacentral:lncRNA from 1 species